ACAAAGACUACACAGUAGGCCUUCCACGUGAGUUUACCACCAAAAAUAUCCCACAGAAAUAGCACUUUGGCAUUGAAAACCUUAGCAGGCCGAUGGAGCCACAGGCCAGCAAAAACCCAAGACAGAUCACAAAAUCAGUAUCAGUGAACCAGAGCAGAACACACGGGCAUCAGUAGAUUUUAAUUCAGUUAACAGCAAAAGGAAUACAAGAUACAAGAGACCAGCACUACAACAUUUUGGUCCUACGGCAACGCCUCACCUUGCUACGGACGGGAAACCGUUGCCAUAGAUGAGAUUUGCAUACAGUUUAUAUAUAUGUUCUGUUUGUGCGUAAAAGAAUUUGUUCUGCGAGUUGGAAACACUUUUUUCCCAUUUGUUUUAUGAAACCCUUCUAAUAGCGUUGCACAUAGCCAGAUUGUUUCUAAAAGUCAUUACUAAAUAAGCGUUUCUAAAGAUCAUUAUGUUCUCUAAUAUUUUACUAAAUAAAAAGCCAAAGAAAUGGGUUGUUCCCAUCUCGUGUUCACAACUGCGUCGUUCCCAUCCCCGCCGCGCAUCGAUCAUCGAUCUUCACCGCCGUUUCUGAGCCACCGUGACACCACCAACCCUCGCCGAUGUUGAAGACGAACCCAAACUCUGACUGGAGACGGUGGCCACAAAAUCGAUGCUGGUCAAUGCACUCACGCAUCAAAUCGCGAAGCUCCAUUCUUCUUCUCGAAGCUCCAUAAUCGCUGCCUCUGCGAUGGUGAAAUCAGAAGGAUUCAGUUUCAAAGAACUUUGGUUUCCGGAAGAAGAGUGAUUGAUUCCUUAAUUUUGAUUUUGUUCAUUUUCAGGUUGUUCUGUAUGGAGAUCUCUCUCCGCCCUUGUGAUCCUCAUUCCGCUGCUCUUCAUCCAUGGCGGUCUCUGCUUCUACCUCCCUGGCAUAGUGCCGCAAGAUUUCCAGAAGGUUAUGUGAGGGUGGAGAACUGCUGGAUCAGAUAUUGGCCUAGUGUGGGCCUAUGAAUUGCUAAUUGAGAAUGACAUUAUUGAGAAAGGGGGCAGGAACCGAAGAAGAUAAAAUAGUAGAUGGCGUGUAAUGGGAGCAGAAGCAGACAUAUAUAAGUUGGGGUGCCAAUUCCAAAAAUCAAGGGCUUUUUAUUUUAAUGCUCUCACUUAUUUCCUUUUUCCUUUUACUUGUGAAAUUACUUGAAACUUGUACUGCAAAACUUGGCUACUUAAAGAAAUAAAUAUAUAACAUGUUUUAAACUUGGAGCUUGCAGGAUGUGGGAACCACCUGAAUCUAAUGGGAUGCUUUCAAAAACGCUAGCAUGAACAAGAACUGCGAGCAGUCUCAGGGAAUCUGUUUCCAUUUGGCUACAUUUUCUUUCUAUUAAAGUUUUUCCUCCUUCGAUCAAUAGUUAAUAAUUUUGCAUAAUGUGUUAAAUUCUUACCCUCCUUGCCGUGCUUAUUUUAUUAUUUACUUUCAUUUUUUCCUACUAUACAUUGGUGGUUACUAAUGAUGCAUGCUAUUUUCACUUUCAGGUAAACAGAAUCAUGGAACUCCCACAAGAUAGUAAGGUAGUAGCCAAGCACACAGAUAGUCCCAAUGUAAGGAUGAGUUUUCUAUACUUCAUUUUCCUUGUCAAACUGGACUAUGCUUAAAUACUAUCUAUUGGUGCAUGCCAGUAGUUGUUUCACUGUGUUUAUAGCUAGUCAUUUCUUUAGUUUCCUACACCUUUAGAGAGACAUUGAGGAGGAAGAAACAGAACUAGAGAUCAAGAAGUGAACCUCGACUGGUAUUUGCAAAUCCCUAAAACUUGCAUCUUCUCUACCUAAUACUAAUAAUGUUUAAGUUCACUGUCUCAAAUGUUGCUAACUAGCAUUGUUGUCAUGUGCCCAUUGCCAGGUAUGUGUUUACUUAUCUUAAAGCUUUUCAUUCUUUCUUGUGUUUUGCACUCAUUCAGCUCUCUUUUUUAACUAUAAAAUUUUCUAUUUCGAGGAGCACAUCAUAAAAAGUACUUUGUUGCUUUGCUCUUGUUUGCCUUUCACUUCAAGUAGAUUAUUUUUGCCUUACCGAUUGUUACCUUGCAGGUGCUUUUGUCUUCUUGGAUUAUGUUUUGGCUGAGGAUUGGUCUUAACUAGAAGUAUUUUGACUUUGUUUCUUGGUAUUAGAAUGAUUGGGCUCAUGUGAUUGUGGCUUAUUAAUUAAAAGUUUUGUACUGCAGAAUUAUUGCCAUGUGACAGUUUAUUUGUGGUACUUUGGCGACUUGGAAAACCAUAUGCUUUAUCUCUAA